UGGGGAAUAUUGCACAAUGGGGGAAACCCUGAUGCAGCGACGCCGCGUGGAGGAAGAAGGUCUUCGGAUUGUAAACUCCUGUUGUUGAGGAAGAUAAUGACGGUACUCAACAAGGAAGUGACGGCUAACUACGUGCCAGCAGCCGCGGUAAAACGUAGGUCACAAGCGUUGUCCGGAAUUACUGGGUGUAAAGGGAGCGCAGGCGGGAAGACAAGUUGGAAGUGAAAUCCAUGGGCUCAACCCAUGAACUGCUUUCAAAACUGUUUUUCUUGAGUAGUGCAGAGGUAGGCGGAAUUCCCGGUGUAGCGGUGGAAUGCGUAGAUAUCGGGAGGAACACCAGUGGCGAAGGCGGCCUACUGGGCACCAACUGACGCUGAGGCUCGAAAGUGUGGGUAGCAAACAGGAUUAGAUACCCUGGUAGUCCACACCGUAAACGAUGAUUACUAGGUGUUGGAGGAUUGACCCCUUCAGUGCCGCAGUUAACACAAUAAGUAAUCCACCUGGGGAGUACGACCGCAAGGUUGAAACUCAAAGGAAUUGACGGGGGCCCGCACAAGCAGUGGAGUAUGUGGUUUAAUUCGACGCAACGCGAAGAACCUUACCAAGUCUUGACAUCCUGCGACGGUGCUGGAAACAGAACUUUCCUUCGGGACGCAGAGACAGGUGGUGCAUGGUUGUCGUCAGCUCGUGUCGUGAGAUGUUGGGUUAAGUCCCGCAACGAGCGCAACCCUUAUGGUCAGUUACUACGCAAGAGGACUCUGGCCAGACUGCCGUUGACAAAACGGAGGAAGGUGGGGAUGACGUCAAAUCAUCAUGCCCUUUAUGACUUGGGCUACACACGUACUACAAUGGCGUUAAACAAAGAGAAGCAAGACCGCGAGGUGGAGCAAAACUCAGAAACAACGUCCCAGUUCGGACUGCAGGCUGCAACUCGCCUGCACGAAGUCGGAAUUGCUAGUAAUCGCGGAUCAGCAUGCCACGGUGAAUACGUUCCC
rnacentral:rRNA from 1 species